UACGGGGGGUGCGAGCGUUAAUCGGAAUAACUGGGCGUAAAGGGCACACAGGCGGCCUUUUAAGUGAGGUGUGAAAUCCCCGGGCUUAACUGGGGAAUGGCAUUUGAUACUGGGAGUCUAGAGUACUUUAGGGAGGGGUGGAAUUCCACGUGUAGCGGUGAAAUGCGUAGAGAUGUGGAGGAAUACCGAAGGCGAAGGCAGCCCCUUGGGAAUGUACUGACGCUCAUGUGCGAAAGCGUGGGGAGCAAACGGG
rnacentral:rRNA from 1 species